UCCCUGGUGGCUCAGAUGGUAAAGAACCUGCCUGCAAUGCAGGAAACCCAGGUUCAAUCCCUGGGUAGGGCA
rnacentral:tRNA from 1 species